CCUACGGGAGGCAGCAGUAGGGAAUAUUGCUCAAUGGGGGAAACCCUGAAGCAGCAACGCCGCGUGGAGGAUGAAGGUUUUCGGAUUGUAAACUCCUUUUGUUAGAGAAGAUUAUGCCGGUAUCUAACGAAAAAGCAUCGGCUAACUCCGUGCCAGCAGCCGCGGUAAUACGGGGGAUGCGAGCGUUAUCGGGAUUUAUUGGGGUUAAAGGGUCCUUAGGCGGAGUGUUAAGUCAGGGGUAAAAGCCCGGGGCUAAACCCAGGCGAGCCGUUGAAACUGGCAGUCUUGAGAUGGCGAGAGGUAUGCGGAAUGCGCGGUGUAGGGGUGAAAUGCUUAGAUAUUGCGCAGAACUCCGAUUGCGAAGGCAGCAUACCGGCGGCGAUCUGACGCUGAGGCACGAAAGCGUGGGUAUCGAACAGGAUUAGAUACCCUUGUAGUC
rnacentral:rRNA from 1 species